AUCACCUUGCACCAAGGAGCACGUCCAGGUAUGGUUGUGCAGCGUGUCCCAGGGCAGGAGCUGGGGGCAGUGGUGUGAAGCUGCCUCCUUGCAAGGCCUGUGGCUUUCCUGGUAACAAACUGCUCCCUCCAGCAUAAGAGGUGCCGCAGCCGGAGGCAGAAACCUCAGCCCAUGGCUGCAAGAGGUGAUUUUCCAUCAGUGACCCCAGAGAAACCUGCAGCAGAGCCGAGCUCAGCGCGAUGUGCCCCAUGCUGCUGGAGAGAGGGAUGCACGCUGCUGCUGAUGCAAAGGCUCUUGGGGUGUUGGAGGAGCUCAUCCCAAGGAUCUGAGCGGUUGGGAAUGUGGUCCUAAGAGGACCUCAGUGCUGCCCUGAAGUGUGGAAGCCCUAGCACCAAUGUGGGCUGGGAUCCCACCCCAGGGAAGCCUGGCCUGAGCUCAAGCUCUGCUCCUGGAUUUGGCUGGCAUUGCUCAUGCCACCCAGAGACACAUUUUGUCCUUUACUAAAUGCAUUUGUCAGCUUGUAUUUAGCUUUGAUUUUUGUAGUUUUAACAGGAAAAGCAGUUACUUAUGUGAAAACAAAUUUACUUCUCCAGUUAUCCUUGGGGUAAUAAAACAUACAACAAAGCCCAUGACAAA